UACGUAGGGGGCAAGCGUUGUCCGGAAUUAUUGGGCGUAAAGCGCGCGCAGGCGGUCAUUUAAGUCUGGUGUUUAAACCUUGGGCUCAACCUGGGGUCGCACUGGAAACUGGGUGACUUGAGUACAGAAGAGGAAAGUGGAAUUCCACGUGUAGCGGUGAAAUGCGUAGAGAUCCGGAGGAAGACCGGUGGCGAAGGCGGCCUGCUGGGCAGUUUCUGACACUGAUGCGCGACAGCGUGGGGAGCAAACAGG
rnacentral:rRNA from 1 species